GUGUCAGCAGCCGCGGUAAUACGAAGGGGGCUAGCGUUGCUCGGAAUGACUGGGCGUAAAGGGCGCGUAGGCGGAUAGUACAGUCAGACGUGAAAUUCCUGGGCUCAACCUGGGGACUGCGUUUGAUACGUGCUGUCUUGAGUGAGGAAGAGGGUUGUGGAAUUCCCAGUGUAGAGGUGAAAUUCGUAGAUAUUGGGAAGAACACCGGUGGCGAAGGCGGCAACCUGGUCCUUUACUGACGCUGAGGCGCGAAAGCGUGGGGAGCAAACAGGAUUAGAUACCCGCGUAGUCC
rnacentral:rRNA from 1 species